AAAGACUUAGUCCCAACCUUACAGUUAGUUACCACCAAACACAUACAUGCAAGUAUCCGCACACCAGUGUAAAUGCCCUCAAUCAUCUUACUAAGACAAGAGGAGCAGGUAUCAGGCUCACCAAAGUAGCCUAAGACACCUUGCUUAGCCACACCCCCACGGGCAUCCAGCAGUAGUUAACAUUAGGCAAUAAGCGUAAGCUUGACUUAGUUAUGGUACCAAGGGCUGGUAAACCUUGUGCCAGCCACCGCGGUCAUACAAGGAGCCCAAACCAACUGACUUACGGCGUAAAGAGCGAACCUGCACUAUCUCUCAACCGAAGCUAAAACACAACCAUGCUGUCAUAAGCCCAAGUUGCCCACAAACCCAACAUGCUUCGAUCCCACCUGACUGACUAGACUUCGCGAAAGCCAGGACACAAACUGAGAUUAGAUACCCCACUAUGCCUGGCCUUAAAUCCAAGUGCCUUUACCCACCAAGACACUCGCCCGGGAACUACGAGCACAAACGCUUAAAACCCUAAGGACUUGGCGGUGCUCUAAACCCACCUAGAGGAGCCUGUUCUAUAAUCGAUAAUCCACGAUACACCCAACCGCCUCUUGCCCCAAGCAGCCUACAUACCGCCGUCGCCAGCUCCCCUCUUAAGAGUGCAAUAGCAAGCACAACAGCCCCCGCUAACAAGACAGGUCAAGGUAUAGCCCAUGGGGCGGAAGAAAUGGGCUACAUUUUCUAUCAUAGAACACCACGAAAGGGGGGAUGAAAACUACCCCCCAGAAGGCGGAUUUAGCAGUAAAGAGGGAUAAUAUUGCCCCCUUUAAACCGGCCCUAGAGCACGUACAUACCGCCCGUCACCCUCCUCACAAGCACCCUCACCAUACCUAAACAGCUAGUCCGCUAAAGAGGAGGUAAGUCGUAACAAGGUAAGUGUACCGGAAGGUGCACUUAGCAUAU
rnacentral:ncRNA from 1 species